GCGGGUUGCGUCAACUACUUAAAGCUGUGUAAGAACUAUUAAAAGUAGAUAAAACCCUAUCUUUUUAGACUUCUAAUCCGUAGGUCAUUGGUUCGAAUCCAAUCGGGCGCACCA
rnacentral:tRNA from 1 species